rnacentral:rRNA from 1 species
GACGAACGCUGGCGGCGUGCUUAACACAUGCAAGUCGAACGGAAAGGCCCUGCUUUUGUGGGGUGCUCGAGUGGCGAACGGGUGAGUAACACGUGAGUAACCUGCCCUUGACUUUGGGAUAACUUCAGGAAACUGGGGCUAAUAUCGGAUAGGAGCUCCUGCUGCAUGGUGGGGGUUGGAAAGUUUCGGCGGUUGGGGAUGGACUCGCGGCUUAUCAGCUUGUUGGUGGGGUAGUGGCUUACCAAGGCUUUGACGGGUAGCCGGCCUGGGAGGGUGACCGGCCACAUUGGGACUGAGGUACGGCCCAGACUCCUACGGGAGGCAGCGGUGGGGAAUAUUGCACAAUGGGCGGAAGCCUGAUGCAGCAACGCCGCGUGCGGGAUGACGGCCUUCGGGUUGUAAACCGCUUUCGCCUGUGACGAAGCGUGAGUGACGGUAAUGGGUAAAGAAGCACCGGCUAACUACGUG